rnacentral:sRNA from 1 species
AAAGAGGGGAGCUUUCGAUUUUUAGGAACUUCUUCUAGUUAGUAGCGAUGAAUUAGAAUGAGAGGAUCCAUCCAAAUUGGGGAGAAAGAGACGUAUCCGACGAAAGCAAGAUCUAUGAUAAUAGAUUCAGUAUGGAUUCUCUUGUAGGUAAGUUUUAGCUUGAGCUUGAUCAGGAUCCAAUCUGUACUAUAUAUUUUGAAACAUUUGUGAGAUGCCAAAGAGAGUUCGAACAAGGUUUUGAAUCAACAGGAUCUAAUCUACUGCUACCCCUCGAAAUGGAAUUGGUAGGAAUGGAAUGCCGUGAACCCAGGAUUAGGCCUCGUUAGCUCGCUUACUCUUAGUAUAGCAGGUAACCAACCUUCUUCCCUUUAUGGUCUAGCUUUGAUUUCACUCAGAAAAGAAGAAAAUGAUAGGACCUUGAUUCUGUCAAAAAGUGAGUCAUUUUCCUCCUCAAAACCCUAUACCCCGUAAGCCAUCUAGCCCCUUUUUCCAUUACGUAAGCAGUUCGAAGUCUUCAAUGUAUUACAUUCCUUCAUCCGGGGAGGUUUUCAUAGCCUAAACAGAAUGGAAAUCAUAGGUCUCUCCGUAUGUACCUUUAGCGCUCAGUUCGGAAGUAGAUUUCUUUCGUUCCUUCAGUUGCAGCAAGGACUUAUUUAGCUCUUUCUUUAGUCUCUAUGGCUUGGUGAGUUGUCCAAAGCCAAGGGGCCCUACACUUAACAAGGGAGCCACUCUGCCAGAGCUUCACUCUAGGCCUCUCACGUCGGUAGCUAUCCGUAGAUCACUAUUGGACGAUCUUCAUCUUUCUCCGAAUUAUACUCUUCUUUCUAUCUUGUUGCGGGGAAGUUCAGUCAUAUAGAAGGUCUAAUCACGAGCAGUUCCAAUCCCAGCCUGCCUAGGCAUCGAAGAAAACAUAUCCAUAUCCCAUGUUAUCGCACUCGAAACCAUGCUAGCUCAUGUUGUUGGUAUAUCACCUUCAACCGCAGGGCCGGAGGCGCCUACUAACUCUGUCUCGUCCCAGGCUUUCAACAGCAGGCAUGUAACCUUCAAAAGAAGCAAUUGAGGAUGGAAGCAAUCGACCCGGAC